rnacentral:misc_RNA from 1 species
GUGAAUCAUCGAAUUUUUGAACGCAAAUUGCGCUUUUUGGUAUUCCGGGAAGUAUGCCUGUUUGAGGGUCAGUAUUAACACAAAAUCGGUUUGGUUGCAAAUUGUGACGCUUCCGGAUUUUGGGAUAUUUUAACUUUUUUGGUUAUGGGGCUUAAAAUUGAAUUUAUUUGCGUAUUUUUAGACGUACAUAAAUUUUUUUUUAAUUCGCCUACUUUUG